rnacentral:pre_miRNA from 1 species
GAGCCACCCUUAUUGGGGCAAGACUUGCUUCAGUGGGGCUUUGGUGCUCACUGAGUCUGCCCCCUGAGUGUGUCCCU